rnacentral:lncRNA from 1 species
ACGCCUCCUCCUCUCCCACGGAGCUCGAGCGGCCGCAGCGGCAUCCAGGCGCGCCUCGCCCGCGAACGGAGACCGACGCCGUGCAAGUGGGUCGAGAUGGUCCGCUCGAUUUCAAGGGAUCAUCUCGACCCGGAUCUUGGAGGAAUAUUCCUCUACUGGGUUGGACCCAACCCCCACCCUCUCCAACCAAACAUGGGUCGAAGUGGGUCGGCUCCAACCCAACCCACUUCGACCCUAGAACCAAACACACCCUUA